GACACACAUGAACCCCUUAUAAGCACGAACAAAUGGAGUACUAUGUAAAAAUUAACAUGCAAAGAUUAUACAAGUCAUAUCGGAGCAUCAAUCUGAUUACUGAAUCAAGUUAUCUGCUCGACCUUAAUUCACGAAACAUUUAACUCAAAUGCGUAAAUUCACCAAACAUAUCUGAUGGAUGCAAAUGAGAUCGUUUCUUUAUAUUUUCGAUCUUAUUUCCAGUUAUAACUUGGCAAGUUUCUGGUGAGUUGCUCAAAUUAUUCUGAAGCAAAACCAGAAAGAACGCACCGGAAGAUUUACAGUGAUUCGCUGAACAAAAUGACAAUCUAAAGCUACAAUAAACGAAAAUCAGUCCGGACUAACGGCCUAGUCGGAGGGGCGCAAAAAAACUAGUCUCGAAAAGCACGCAAUUGGCGGCUAAUCAAGUUUGGCGAUUACUGCAUCCGUGACUUCCUGGGUGGUGCUGGUGCCGCCCAAAUCCCUGGUCCUGUAUUUGCCUUCUGCAAUGACACUCUUCACUGCUGAUUCCAGCCGGUCGGCGAAUGACGGGAACUGCAAAUGCCUCAGCAUCAUGGCGGACGAGAGAAACAGAGCAACUGGAUUAGCUUUCUUCUGUUGCACAAUCUUGUCAUUUCCCACAUUUCCUGCAGAAGCGCCCUGCUCAAAGAUGGCAUGGUCCUGACCAACAUUGCCUGAAAUAAUGCAGCACACGAAGAUUUAGAGACUAAUCUUCCAUCCCCAUAUACUAACAAGUUCGGUAUUUAUGCAUUGCAUGGUGCUAAGACGUUCAGACAUGGGAAGGCUAAAUAGAUAUAUCAAAUGCAACAUUGAGCAGGCUAUUAUUAGACAGAAACAAUCAAUUUAUACCAAUUGUAAACUUAUUUCCACUAAAACAGAAGAAUCACAAGCAGAAUCAAACUCUACCUCCAGGCAUGACACCCGUGCCUCCAGCAAUACCUGCAGCAACAUUAGACACCAGAUUGCCAUAAAGAUUUGGGGUGACCUAUAAAGGGAAGAAAACAAAAGUAAGUCAACAGGUAACUUCUGAAAUUGUUUUGUAAACUUUGGGACAUCAAGACAACCUUUAGAAUGUAAAACAGUGCAUACAAAGAAACAUGAGAUUGCCAACAGAGGUACAAACAUAAGAGGUGUUACUACCACAUUUGCAAAAACUUAGUUAAACGAUCCGCACUGAUAUUUUCUGUAUAGGAUCAAUAUAAGUAUAUAUCAAACAGCGUGCUCAAGGUUAAAAUGGUAGCUUAUUGUAUAACCACGACAACAUUUCAGCUUGAUGAACAUUGAACAAUUAGAAUAUGUUUGCAAUACAGUGACAUUUAGUGAGAAGUGCAUAGAUUUCAUAUACAUACCAUAACAUCAAACUGUUCAGGUUUUGCAACAAGCUGCAUACAGCAGUUGUCCACAAUGAUUUCACUAUAUUGAAUUCCAG
rnacentral:lncRNA from 1 species